GGCGGCGUAGCUCAGCUGGCUAGAGCACACGGUUCAUACCCGUGGUGUCAGGAGUUCAAAUCUCUUCGCCGCUA
rnacentral:tRNA from 1 species